rnacentral:rRNA from 1 species
AACGAACGCUGGCGGCAUGCCUAAUACAUGCAAGUCGAACGAGAUCUUCGGAUCUAGUGGCGCACGGGUGCGUAACGCGUGGGAAUCUGCCCUUGGGUUCGGAAUAACGUCGGGAAACUGACGCUAAUACCGGAUGAUGACGUAAGUCCAAAGAUUUAUCGCCCAGGGAUGAGCCCGCGUAGGAUUAGCUAGUUGGUGGGGUAAAGGCCUACCAAGGCGACGAUCCUUAGCUGGUCUGAGAGGAUGAUCAGCCACACUGGGACUGAGACACGGCCCAGACUCCUACGGGAGGCAGCAGUAGGGAAUAUUGGACAAUGGGGGCAACCCUGAUCCAGCAAUGCCGCGUGAGUGAUGAAGGCCUUAGGGUUGUAAAGCUCUUUUACCAGAGAUGAUAAUGACAGUAUCUGGGGAAUAAGCCCCGGCUAACUCCGUGCCAGCAGCCGCGGUAAUACGGAGGGGGCUAGCGUUGUUCGGAAUUACUGGGCGUAAAGCGCACGUAGGCGGCGAUUUAAGUCAGAGGUGAAAGCCCGGGGCUCAACCCCGGAACUGCCUUUGAGACUGGAUUGCUUGAAUCCGGGAGAGGUGAGUGGAAUUCCGAGUGUAGAGGUGAAAUUCGUAGAUAUUCGGAAGAACACCAGUGGCGAAGGCGGCUCACUGGACCGGCAUUGACG